CGAAUUAUACGAUUUCGAAAUUUAAACCCUAAACCCUAAAACUCAACUCUAAACCUUAAACCAUCAAUCUUAAACCCUAUUUUUUUUUUGAAAUAUGAACACUAAUCCUAAACCCUAUUUUUUUUAAAUACGAACUCUAAACCCUGAAACAUCAACUCUAAACCCUAAGCCCUAAACCUUCAACUCUAAACCCUAAAACAUCAACUCUAAACCCUAAACCCUAAACUUCAACUCUAAACCCUAAACCAACAACACUAAACCCUAAACUCUAAACCCUAAACCCUAAAAAUUAACCCUAAACCCCGAAACAUCAACUAUAAACCAUAAACCCUAAACCUUCAACUCUAAACCCUAAACCCUAAAUUCUAAACCCUAAAAUCUUAGAGUUUAUGUUUUAGGGUUUAGAUUUGAAGGUUUAGGGUUUUAGGGUUUAGGGUUUACGUUUAGGGUUUAGAGUUGAUGUUUUAGGGUUUAGAUUUGAACGUUUAGGGUUUUAGGGUUUAGGGUUCGAAUUUAAGAAAAAUAUAGGGUUUAGGGUUUAAGGUUUACGUUUAGGGUUUAGAGUUGAUGUUUUAGGGUUUAGAUUUGAAGGUUUAGGGUUUAGGGUUUAGAGUUAAUGUUUCAGGGUUUAGGGUUUAGAGUUGAUGUUUCAUGGUUUAGGGUUUAGAGUUGACGAUUUAGGGUUUAAAGUUGAUGCUUUAAGUUUAGAUUUAGGGUUUAGGGUUUACGUUUAGGGUUCAGGGUUUAGGGUUUAGAGUUGAUGUUUCGGGAUUUAGGGUUUAGAGUUGAUGUUUCAUGGUUUAGGGUUUAGAGUUGAUGAUUUAGGGUUUAGAGUUGAUGUUUUAAGUUUAGAUUAGUUAACCGUAUGUUUUUCUUUGUCAAAGUUAAUCAAAAAGUUAUAAAUGUCUUUUACCCUUCACUAAAGAUGAGGGUAAAAGUGAUUAGUGUAAACAUGAAAAGUGGUACUUUGAAAAUGGUAUUUUUGGCAAUUUCCCAAGAAUAAAAUAAUAAAUCAAUUUUAGCUAUAAAUUUGAAUUUUAUUUUUA
rnacentral:lncRNA from 1 species